GCGUUGUCCGGAUUAUUGGGCGUAAAGAGCUCGUAGGCGGCUGGUCGCGUCUGUCGUGAAAACUUCCGGCUCAACCGGGGGCUUGCGGUGGGUACGGGCCGGCUAGAGUGCGGUAGGGGUAACUGGAACUCCUGGUGUAGCGGUGGAAUGCGCAGAUAUCAGGAAGAACACCGAUGGCGAAGGCAGGUUACUGGGCCGUUACUGACGCUGAGGAGCGAAAGCGUGGGGAGCGAACAGGAUUAGAUACCCUGGUAGUCCACGCUGUAAACGUUGGGCACUAGGUGUGAGGCUCCUUUCCGGGGGUUUUGCGCCGUAGCUAACGCAUUAAGUGCCCCGCCUGGGGAGUACGGCCGCAAGGCUAAAACUCAAAGGAAUUGACGGGGGCCCGCACAAGCGGCGGAGCAUGCGGAUUAAUUCGAUGCAACGCGAAGAACCUUACCAAGGCUUGACAUGUUAACUGUGGCUCUAGAGAUAGGGUUUACCCUUUUGGGUGGUUUUCACAGGUGGUGCAUGGUUGUCGUCAGCUCGUGUCGUGA
rnacentral:rRNA from 1 species